UGUGGGGUUUUCUUUAGGGAGAUAGGGAGUUCUGUUUUGCUGGUUUCCUUUCUCAGCUCUCUCUCUGAGUGUGCCCCACAUUGCCUGUGUCCGUCGUGACCGUGCCUUCCUGCCUCUUGUUUCACAGCUUUCCUGUCACAGAGAGGAUCCCUGGCUUUUGCUGGGCAGGUGUUUGCAUCGGCAGAGCGUGGUGCUCUGCUAGGUGAGCCCAGCCCUGGUGCCUUCCUUCCUGUGUGGACCACGGCCAUGCCCAGCAAUGGCUCCCCAGGGACCAUCUUCCAGCCCAGCAUCACCGUACCAGAUCUGAAAGAAGCGCGCUAGAUAUUUCACCCCUUCUGCUCUCCAAAAGUAUUUAAGGGCAGAAAGUGCAAAUUGGGUACUCAAAGCUCUGCUUUCUGGCCGGCCUUCACCUGGGAAAAAUCCCCAGCUGAAAUCAGUCUCUCCAUUCCCAUGUAGGAAAUACUGCAACUUGACUCAUGGGAUUUUAUAAUGCACUUUGUACACAUACGUUUACCAAAAAGCGACAUCUUGUGCCCCAGCUAAUUGCCCUUUGAAGCGGCCUGGGGAAGGGAGCAUGAAGGUUUCUUAGAACAUUAAAAGUAGUAGUGAAAGUCACAGGGCCUUUUUCCUUUAUACAAUCGAAGCCAAAUUUGAGCAAUAACCCUUCUGAUGUCUCUGAGGGGAGGAGAUGUGACGUCUUGAGGUAAACCACACAUCCCGUAACUACCACUGUGCUGUUCAUGAUCGCUGCCUUGCUACAGAAGUGGCAGAACUGCUUUUCAGCAAAAGUCACCACGUUUUUCAGAGGGGAACGAUUCCAGUCAGAGAAAGACUGGGCAGCGGGGAGGAAGAAAACCCGACCGCAAUAAAGCAGCCAUUGAACCUGAAAGGAAAAAGACGUCAGCAUCUCCGGCAGGGGCUCUCCUUUUUUUCCUGGUAUCUCUGCAAACCGUAAUUAUGUGGAAAGAAGCCGUGGGUGGGACCAGCAUACUUACUGACAAGCUGAACUUUAUAACCUAAUGCCAUGACGUUGCGAGGGAAGAGGGUUUGGCUUGCCCGCCUCGUGGGACUUGCAAACUCAAGGAGGUGGUUCAGAGGUGGGCACCCACCUGCCCACCUUCAUGAGCCUUCACCCAGGUCAUGGGAUUGAGGCAGUAAUGGGAACAAGGGUGCUGCCUUCUGGUCAGGGGAGCCUCUACCAACCAGGAGGCUGCCAGGUGGUGGUGGAAAUUCAGGAGGAAAUGGUCAGGGAGAACAGAGGAAAGGUCUAGGUGUUGCCGGAGUUGAGCUCUAGCCCAGCUACUUUUCCAAGAGAGACCUAAAUGGGGAUGGAAAGCCCAGGGAAAGGAUCAUUUGGAGCUCCCAAGCUCCUCAGCAAUUCAAAGGUGUGCAGGGACUCACAGAAGAGAGCCCAAAGGAAAGCUGAUGCCAAGAGCUGCAGUUGAGGACCAGGGGACUCCUACUGUAGAGUUUGUACCCAGUAGAGUUCAAGGUGAAUAGUGCAGCUUGUCAAAACCCUAAAUCCCUCUGAGGUGUAAGACCUGCCCAUUGGAAGACAUGGGAAGGAAACUGGAGCCAGCAGAAGGGACUUCGAGGACCUUGAGCAUCUUGAGGUGGAGACUGGAGGCAGAUGCAGUGCUGCCCCAGACCUCCCAGUUUAAAAUGUCACAGCGAGGUGGCUGACAAGAGCCCAGCUGAGAGACGGACAUUUAGAGAGCUUCUCAACCCUUUUCCAGGUCAUGCUCCACCCCUCAUCCAUUUAAAUAAACAUUAGCAGAACAGUGAGGCCAAGGAAUUACUAUAGGCAAGGUCUGAGGUGUAUGCCUGGUCUCUCUCCAAGUCUAUGACUGAAAUAGGAGUCUAAAUAUAUCUGUAGCUGAGGACUGAGGUGUGCUGUCCAAGUUAAACAAGGAUAUACAGCCCUGGAAUGACAUGGAGAGCCACAGGUUAGGUCUACGCUGAGGAAGCACCAACCAUCAUUGGCUGCACUUGAGGUUGCUUUUCAGCUAUUUAAGGGCAGCGUUUUGCUGAUUAUCUCUUCCAAUCUACAAGUUUUGGUCCCUUGCUGUCCCUUCACAUCACUGCUCUUCAAACAAGCUGGGGCAGGGCAGAGGGAAAUGUGACCAUCAUCUCAUUGAUGCGUGUCCAGUUCUUGUUGGUACCUAUCUGGUGGGGCAGCACAAGCAUCAUCUCUUACCUGACUAUAAAAUCUAGGAAAACCAUGUUUCUAACAUCACAGCACCGAAUGGUGUUCCCUGGCAUUCACACCUCUCUCCUGCCCCUAAUCACCAAGCACUGCAAGGACACAGGAUCCUGGGUCAGCACAGCCCAGCGCUCAUGCCAGGAGGGACACACCAGGGCACUGCCAGGCAUUUCAGCUCCUUCUUGUCCCACGGCCACCUGGCAGUGGGGCUGCCUGUGCUGCUGGCAAAGGCACUGGUGGCAUCUGAUAUGUUAAUACCCAGGUUUACAGACUCCCCUGAGCGAAGGGAUGUUUAGGUGACUGAACCUCCUCCUGUUGUUUUAAGGGUUCUGGCAAACAAUCAAGAACGAAAGCUAAGACAGCCAGUUCCCAUUUGCGGGCACGUCCCUACAUUUCAAUGUGGCAAACCUUGUGAUUUAGCAAGUGAGAGCCUUCUGCCCUCAGGCUGCUAAAAGCUUUUUUUUUACAAAGAAAAUUAAAAAAAAAAAAAAAAAGGGAAGAAGAAAACAAACCUGUCAAGAAAAACACAAGCAUGGAUGGGUUACAGCACUUCUGCCUAUGCUUCCAUGUGGGGGAACCUGCAGGCUGAGGACCUGGUGCCUUGAAACCUGCUGGGUGCUUUUCAUUUGUUUGUUUGACAAGCUCGUACUUCAGCAGGAGGGAAGAAAAUGCCAGCAGCUUUUGCUGCCAUCAUGAAUAAUGUUUUCUUCUGAUACCAUUUUGUGCUUUCCUCCCCAAAAGUGAGUACCUCCCUGGCUGAAGUGGAACACGUUGGCUCAUAGGAUAGUGUUCAUCAGCGGAAAAGGACAAAUUUAGUCAAUCUAGUGUAGAACUUUCCGCUGCUGCAGGCUGUGGCUGUGGCUAGUGGGUGCCUGAGCCUGACAAGCCAUGUGCCCUCGCCGGGGCUGGCACCUGGCAUGGACAGAACAGCUUCUUACAUGCCAGGGCCCCACGGGCUCGCAGGUGUGCGUGUAUGCAUGCGUGUGGGCAUGUGUGUGUGCGUGCACACGUGUGCCCUCCCUAGAAGCACUGGAGAAUGCUUGUGCCAAGGCGGAUCCGCUCUCGGGAUGGCUACGGGGUCACAGGGCUGCUCCGAGAUGGCAAGGGACAGGCAUGGGGACCCCAGCAGUGCCCAAGCGGUGGUCCCAAGCUGCCUCAGCUGGUGGGCUCCAGGAUAGGGCCAAACCUUUGUGGUUGUUACAGUUACCAGCACAGGGUCACAAGCCCAAAGGCAACAUGCACAAGUUGCCUCACGUCACAAGUAGUGUCAUCCUCGCAUGGAAGGAGAACAACCUACCACUUCUUCGCGGCAACGAAGUUGCCACUGGUGGCAGUCUGCAGCCAUGUCGUGGUUAACUGUCCUUGGAGAGAGCCUGGUGGCACCUUCACCCACCUGGACAAACUGCCUGCCUUCUUCCUGCAGCUGCCAGGUCCUCCUGCUCCCUCCUCCCAGCCCCAGGCAUCACAGCAUGUCACAGCCUGCACUGGCACUGGUGGCAGCAGACAAAGGGCAGCAGCAAGCUGAUAGAGAGGACUGGGCGACGUGUGUCUGGCUUCUGAGCUGCUUAUUUACGUGCAGCCGGCGGUGUGGCCAGCUCUGAUGGUGAAGUAAGCUCUGCCUCUGAGUACCUGGCUGUGUGUAUAACCAGGCGCCUUAAAUGAGAAGCCAUUAGAAAAACACAAGGCAGAUGGUUGUCCCUGAAUCCACUCACAAUGGUGUCAGAGGGAGAGAUCUGUGGCAUGGCACCUGGCUGCAGAGCUGACACCCAGAAAGCCAGGGAGCAAUCUUCCUCUUUGUUUUACAAAUAGGUAUUGCCUUUGGAGGCAGGAUCAGUUCUAACAUAUUUAUUGCGAGAAUGAAAGACAAAAAGGCAGAAGUGUUUGCCAAGAGCAAGUGAAAUGGGCAUGCUUUUUAAAGAACUACCACAGGACCGAUUACCUUUCCAAGUAAUUAAACAUUGUGAAAGGUUAUUAACGUGCCGAUAAUAGACAGCUUUGCAAACUGCCAGCACAGCAUGAUUUGACAGAGGACGGCACAAAGGCAGAGAGCAGGACUCCUCCGUCUUCGGGGCUUUGCAGCACUGAGGGCUGGAUGUGCCCACAGGGACCAAGAGUUUGAGGAUCUCGAAACUUCCACCUGUGCCUGACUGGCUGCAGGGUUCUCCUUGGCGGGCAGAGGGGCUGCGAGAUUGCAGCUGCCAGGAUCGGGUUGUCCCUCCCGCGACGCGCCCUGGCCGGGGGCAAGGCAGCAGGUGUCCGCCAGCAGCCCAGGGCCUGUCCCCACUUGCAGCUCGGUGCAGGUUAACGCGUAUUAUUUCUCUUUAAACCAACUCGCACCCGCAAAUGACAUCUCUUAUUGUGGAUCCACUGGUAUUUUAGUGCGUGUUGUCAAACUCACUGGGGAAACAGCAGGCUUACCAAGGGGUGGGGUGUGUUUGCCUGAAGCCACGUGAGCACUGGCGUGGCCAAAACUGAGCCCACUGAGUGCUCCCAUUGCUGUCCCACACCACUUCACCAGGUCCUGAAGGUGGCCUCGAUGUGUUUACCCAGGCUUCACCCUCCCGCUUUGGGAGUGCUCUUCCUACGCAUCCCAUCCACAUCUGAGGAGCUGGCUGCAGCCAGGGCCUGCCCGCACUGAUCCCAGCUCCCAGGGAGCGCCUGCAUUUGUGUUCUGACCCCAGUGAUCAAACCAAGCCAGACGAACACAGCAGGAGGAAGAAGGCGGAGGAGAGAAAAGUGCAGGACGUGGUGGAAAGAUUCAGUAACAUCCUGGGCGAGAACAUCCUUCUAGCCCUUCAGAAGCUUUCCCAGCGUUACAAACUUUUGGUACCUUUUCCCAAACUCAGUGGUCAUGUUGGUGCAAUACCAUGCAUUAAAGUGUCUUUGCAUAUAGACAA